rnacentral:rRNA from 1 species
CGUCUAUAUACGUAUAGCAUAUCAAUAAGCGGAGGAAAAGAAACUAACAAGGAUUCCCUUAGUAACGGCGAGUGAAGCGGGAAGAGCUCAAAUUUGAAAUCUUCAAGGUUCUACCUCGACGAAUUGUAGUUUAUAGAAGUGUUUUCUGUUAGUGGAGUGGCAAAAGUUCUUUGGAAUAGGACAUCAUAGAGGGUGAGAAUCCCGUAUUUGGUCAUUCCUCCUAGCGUUGUGAUACACUUUCAACGAGUCGGAUUGUUUGGGAAUGCAGUCCAAAAUGGGUGGUAAAUUUCAUCUAAAGCUGAAUAUUGGCGAGAGACCGAUAGCGAACAAGUACCGUGAGGGAAAGAUGGAAAAGAACUUUGAAAAGAGAGUUAAACAGUACGUGAAAUUGUCAAAAGGGAAGCGUUUGACACCAGUGUUGUUUUUCCGAAAAUCAAUUACGAAUGUUUUGUUUUUGAGGAGUUAUGACUUCAUCGGCUUGCUCCUUUCUUUAUGAAACUUUCUUAAUGCACUUUUCGGUUAACAAGUCAACAUCAAUUUCUUUUGUUGUAAAAGGGUAUGAGGAAGGUGGCUUUCUUUUCGGAGAAAGUGUUUAUAGCCUUGUGCCUCUGCAAUCGGAGAGAUUGAGGUCUGCAGCGUAGAUCCUUCGGGGUUAGAUACGUUUGUGCUAAGUUAUAGCUUUUCAUAGACAACUUGUUGACUAUGUUUAGUCUUGUAGCUUACUCGCUGACGCUAUUUUACCUACGCUUAGGAUGUUGAUAUGCAUGACUGAUAU